rnacentral:rRNA from 1 species
CCGUCGGUCUGGAUCGGGCGCGGGGGCGUCGGCGGAGGAGAGGACGGCGGCGGCGGAGCCGGAGCAGGCGGAGGAGAGGACGGCGGCGGCAGCGGAGCCGGAGCCGGCCGGGCACGAGACGGCUGCGGGCAGCCGGAGCGAGGGUAGGUGCCGCUCGCCCUGCUGGCACUCUCUUAUAGUCACCCCCGCGGCAUCUCGGACUCUCAGCCGCCUUCGUCCCCGACCCACAACCGCCGGCUGCCCCCAGACCGCCCGCAGUUGCCGCGCAGCUGGUCUGGCCGUCGCUGGGGCUACCUCCCCUUCCCUGGCCGUCUGCGUAUGUUCGCCCUCUCCGAACCCCCGGAGCACCUAACCCUACCGCCAGCGGGCUCAAAGAAGCGAACUAGACCUCUCCCGGUACCGUCACGUGCGCUCCCCGCCUCCGCUCGCUGGGAUACCUCGGCGUGUGUAGCUGUCCCUCUUCGAGCUCGACGUCGCCCAGGUACCGCGGUAGCGGCAGUGUCGUCCUCCUCGCACCCGGCAUCUCUGCAGGCCUAGACAGGUCGGGAGUGCGGCGGCAGGCUGGUAGGAUCUCCAAACAAGGACGCAGGAGCGGAGGUAGGAGACUUAAAAACACGAGCACAGGAGGGGAGGCAAACCGAGAACAACUUCACGGCGGCUAAAGAAGACGAUGGAUUCUUCAUGAUUACGAGUACAAAAAUGUUAAACCAAAGGUAUCGAAAAUCAGUACCCUAGAACUCCUUUCGUCAAUUAUGUAAUACUAACACAGCUGAUAUGACUUAGAUGUUUCGGAAAAACACACGUCUCUUUAAGUGUGAGACGUAAUCAACGUUUUCUACGACUAAAACUAGAAUUAUUAAUAUCAACUACAAGUUCGUCAUCGCUCAAACCGUUGGAGUGCCAGUAGAUUAAGCCUUAAGUGCAGGGUGGGAGUUUCGAAUCGAAUUAUAAUAAGUAAAAGACCAAAUUUGAUAAAGAACUUCGGAAGAAAGUCGAGCGUGAACAUACGAUAAAUUUGAAUAAAGACCCACAUUCUUCUCAAGUCUCGUUUCGUCCGGUUGUAGAAACGACGUGACCUGGCCGAGAUGUAGGCACCACCGCCCGUGCUGGAGGCGACGGCCCACGUACUACUCCGUGAGCUCCCCAUCCCGGCGAACGCCGCGUCCACGGGCAGCACACAGGGUCGCCCCGUGGGCUCCGUUGACGUUGACCGGCCGCUCAAACCGACUAAAGUUGUACAGUUCUUCUUCUGGUACCGAUGGCCUCCUGAUAUACUUGUUCCGAGCCGUCCAGGACGUAGUAGUUGAUUGUCGGUUGAGGUUUGCUAAUGAGUCAACGUCUUAUAGGGUUGUUUUCCGUCUUAAGGAACAUCCUAUUUAUUUUGACGUAGACUACGACUGUUCAGAUCCUUAAGGUCUCCGGCUCAUAGCAACGUCCCAUAUACGCUUGUUGUUUUAGAUACGGUGUUGAGAAAAGUCAUGUAGAUACCAUGGUGAGUUUCCACAGAAGUAAAGCCCUAUCAUUCAGGCUACUGUUCUCUAAGAUGUAUAAAAGAGGGUGUUUCCGUGAAUUCAACUUCUGUAUAAGUUUUCUACUGGCACAGAGUCACCAGCUCCGGAACCAGAACCAGUCCUCACAAAUAAGCGAGUCCAGCGAAUCACCUUCUUAUUGAAACCACGUCUCACUGUAAAGAUAAAACUGACGUUCCUUAGUUUUAGCCUACGUGGUCCUCCGAAAUUUGCUCUGAGAAUAUGUCCUAACUCUUAUCUAAUACGAAAGCCUCAAAAUUCAUCCUCAAAAGUACGAUGACUUUCGUUGACUUCGAUGCAAUACUCCUAGUAGAUUCGAACAAACCUAGGUCAUCUAUGGUAAAAACUCGCUCAAAAAGACUUCUACACAGUUACAAGUCGGACCUCUUACAAGUACAUUUCCGGUCAUGUGUUCGUACAGAUGAAAUGGUAUACCUACCACCUAGAUGUCCUGUUUAAACACGUGGUCGAAACUUAAGGUACUGCAACGUGCCUGAUACACCUUGGGUGACUAAGUAUCACUACAUAAAAGAAGCUCUUUCUCUCCUGACACGUUAGUCUUCAUGUUAUACACUAGUAGUUCACAUUCUCUACCGUUCUUAUACACCAUACAUAAAGUCAGACGCAUGAUUGCUUCACAUAACUGACAAGUACGACGAUAUUAUUCGAGCUACUAAAUGAUACCUUUGUCUUUUUGUGAAUUCUUCGUAGAAUUAAAAAUACAUGACUCUAAAAUCUCCGACAAUAACUGUAACUAAAGGAAAUACGAUCUCUACGACCAUUCUUUAGAUGUAGUCUUGUAUGAAACCAAAUUAAGAACCAAUCGUGAAUAGACAAGAAACGUAAGUUUCUUGAGUAAACAAAGAAUUUUUUUUUCUAUUCUUUAUAACGUUAGAAUUAACCGUGUCAAACCGGGAAAGUAGUGAACCAUAUAUCAUAAAGAAUCUAUGUGGUUGUUACUUAAAACCAAUCGUGUUCUUUAACUAUGUCAUGUUAUCUAAUUGAUAACGCCAUCUAAAUAACUAAAAACAGCCCGACACCAUAGAUAGACAUCGUAGACCUUCUACGGUUUUUAUGUUAUUCGGAAAAAAGUGUUCCAAAAAACCACAACGAGUUACGAGUAAUGGAGACCAUAAUAAAAGAGAAAAUCAGGAAAUGAUGAUAAUAGAGCACGAAGAUUUAUAAUACUUUUUGCACGCUCACUUAGUUUCUGACAUAUAUACUCUUACAUACACUCAAACAACGUAAAAUCUCUUAUCGGUGUGGAGGGAACGCAAACGUAUCUUGUUCCUACUGUUUGAAACCAAAUUAAACCAGUCGUGCAUUGAGUAAACAAAGUAUUUUCUUCUAUUGUUUAUAACGUUAGAAUUAACCGCGUCAAACCGGGAAAGUAGAGAACCAUACAUCACAAAAAAUCUAUGUGGUUGUUACUUAAAAGAAUCUAUGUGAUUUACUACUUGUCCCGUAUACAGUCCUACGUAUCGUAUUACAUAUACAAUUAAUCUUUUAUGAGAAAUCGUAGACUUUGUAGAUUUCCGGUAGUGAGUUGGUACAUAAUAUAUGUUAUAUGGGUCGAGUCACUGAUCUCGUCAGGGUCGGUGAUUAAUCAUGAGUUGUAACUUAGUGAGUAGAUUCAUAGUUGUGCUGAACGGAUAACUGUAUCAUCACGAUCCAGGAGCCACAAGCAAGAAUGAGAGACAAAAGGCUCAGAAACCAGAGAUAAGUGUAAAGCAAAAGAUAAAAGUAUAGUGAUACAUAAGUAAGCCAUAGAACCAAAGAGAAACAAAUCAGAGGGCAUGGAGAAAAAAAAAGUAAACAUACAGAUUCCAUUCUUACUCUCUAAUCUAUUUGUUUGUCCUUUCACGAAUGAAACAAGUCACCUACGUAAGGCAGUGACAGGUAGUUGUUCAAGUUGAGGCCGCUACCAAGUGGCUACACCCGGCUACGUGGUGCAGUCCUUGCAGUUACCGGACUGUCCGGUAAAAGGUUGACCCGGACAAUAUUUACUGCUCUGGUACUCCUACGUCUGUCAUUACAACGAGGACUUUUACUUAUACAUGAAACGGCACGGUGAUUAGACUCGUUUUAUCAUCUAGUACUACGGGGAGCACGAUGUCACCUUAACUUAGUGUUUUUAAGAUGUAUAAGUAUUUUGUGGCUUCCUCCAAUCAAAAAUGGACUCGCCGUUGCCGCUGACGGCACCCGAACGACCUCGGAGGGAUCGGUACCUUUCAGUGGUCGAAGUCCCUCACGGUCCGACGGUCUUCUCUGCGUUGGAAGCCGUCCCUCGCUGUUGUCGUUGGCACUCCUAAACCGAGCGGCUAUGCUCACUGUCGCCGCGGUACACGUCUAAGGCGUCGAGGCUCGACAUCGCCCUCGACGGUCCGACGGGUCUACGUCUACCUCGUCGACGCCACGACGCGGAAGCUCGACCGCCCGGCGGCUCUACGUCAACCUCGGCGUCACGGAAGCUCGACGUCGCACAAGGCGAGGGGGCACUUCGACGUCGCACUAGGUGGCACUUCUACCUCGGGUCGCACUUAGCGGAAGUGGUCCACAAAAGAGGUUAUGUCACCCCUC